rnacentral:rRNA from 1 species
GACGAACGCUGGCGGCGUGCUUAACACAUGCAAGUCGAGCGGUAAGGCCCUUUCGGGGGUACACGAGCGGCGAACGGGUGAGUAACACGUGGGUGACCUGCCCUCAGCUCUGGGAUAAGCCCGGGAAACUGGGUCUAAUACCGGAUAUGACUCCAUGACGCAUGCUGUGGGGUGGAAAGCCUUGUGCGGCUGAGGAUGGGCCCGCGGCCUAUCAGCUUGUUGGUGGGGUGAGGCCUACCAAGGCGACGACGGGUAGCCGGCCUGAGAGGGCGACCGGCCACACUGGGACUGAGAUACGGCCCAGACUCCUACGGGAGGCAGCAGUGGGGAAUCUUGCGCAAUGGGCGAAAGCCUGACGCAGCGACGCCGCGUGAGGGAUGACGGCCUCGG